GAUGAACGCUGGCGGCGUGCCUAAUACAUGCAAGUCGAGCGAACAGACGAGGAGCUUGCUCCUUUGACGUUAGCGGCGGACGGGUGAGUAACACGUGGGUAACCUACCUAUAAGACUGGGAUAACUUCGGGAAACCGGAGCUAAUACCGGAUAAUAUUUCGAACCGCAUGGUUCGAUAGUGAAAGAUGGCUUUGCUAUCACUUAUAGAUGGACCUGCGCCGUAUUAGCUAGUUGGUAAGGUAACGGCUUACCAAGGCAACGAUACGUAGCCGACCUGAGAGGGUGAUCGGCCACACUGGAACUGAGACACGGUCCAGACUCCUACGGGAGGCAGCAGUAGGAAAUCUUCCGCAAUGGGCGAAAGCCUGACGGAGCAACGCCGCGUGAGUGAUGAAGGUCUUCGGAUCGUAAAACUCUGUUAUUAGGGAAGAACAAACGUGUAAGUAACUGUGCACGUCUUGACGGUACCUAAUCAGAAAGCCACGGCUAACUACGUG
rnacentral:rRNA from 1 species